rnacentral:rRNA from 1 species
UACAGAGACUGCAAGCGUUAUUCGGAUUCACUGGGCGUAAAGGGCGCGUAGGUGGUGGCUUAAGCGUGCGGUGAAAGCUCGGGGCUCAACCCCGAGUCGGCCGUGCGAACUGGGCUCACUGGAGCAUAGUAGAGGCAGGUGGAAUUCCGGGUGUAGCGGUGGAAUGCGUAGAGAUCCGGAAGAACACCAGUGGCGAAGGCGGCCCGCUGGGCAGUGGCUGACGCUGAGGCGCGACAGCGUGGGGAGCAAACAGG